rnacentral:lncRNA from 1 species
UAAUAAUGUAAGGGAUUACAGUAAAUGUUAUCUCUUUGCAUAUGGGUCACUUUGGACUGUGGAGGUCACCACCUCAGGAAUCUACGGCCUGUGGAAAUUUCUGCCUCAAUUCGUUACUGGUUGGUGAAAGCACUCUACAUGUGGGACCCAGACCGAUUAAAGUAUUGGCUUCCGCAGCAAUUCUUCCUCUACAUCGGAGAACUACAACAACAGGGGACGAGCCUACACAAGUACCCAGGUCGUGAGUUUAAUUAAUUUAAUUAUUUUUAAUAUUAUAAGUAAUUAGUUGCUAUUUACUUACUUAUCGCCUCUGAUUGUGAAGUAUACAGACUCAUCUAGAUAUAUUGAUAAUUAAUCAUAGUUAAGUGGAAAAUAAUAUUAUUAUCUAACACUGAUACAAAAUAUGCUUAUUAUUGGAUAUUUUUGUUUAAAAUUAGUUAAUUGCUUGUUGUAUUAACGGGGAGACCCUAGUAUUCGAUGAUUUUACUGUGUAAGCAAUGAUUCAACGUGAAUUGAUAAGAAAGUUCGAUAUGAUAAUUUGUAAAGUGCCCUUUAUUUUUCAAAACAUUUUAAAACUAAUGCUGCAUUGAGGAACUGUUACGGACGGAGAGUUUUGGUUUGGAAACAGAUGUAAUUACAUCAAUUUGUGGUUUUAACAGGAAUAAUGGAGUUGCGCGGUAUUAGAGGAACGCCAGUAGAUUUUCACGUCUGCCAGCUUCUACGUAGAUUUCAAUAAGGACGCCUUCGUUAACCAAUAUCAAAACAGAUAUGAUCCACUGCACAAAUCCCAGGCCCUCUAACUCCGCUCUUCAUAUUGGUCUUUUAUUGACCAUUAUGAGGGGCGUGAAAAGCAUACACGGAUUCCCUUCUACUUCCCAACUGUUCUUUCUAGCUGACAUAAUGCUCCAGUCAAAGAAAACCUACCAUCCUGUGGUCACAGUCAGUUCCAGCAUACAAGAAACUUCAACGCCGAGGUGACCUGAGUUCACGUGACGUGUGGUGAUCAAAUUUCUUUUUAGGUACUCUAGGAAUAAUGGAGUUGCGCGGUAUUAGAGGAACGCCAGUAGAUUUUCACGUCUGCCAGCUUCUACGUAGAUUUCAAUAAGGACGCCUUCGUUAACCAAUAUCAAAACAGAUAUGAUCCACUGCACAAAUCCCAGGCCCUCUAACUCCGCUCUUCAUAUUGGUCUUUUAUUGACCAUUAUGAGGGGCGUGAAAAGCAUACACGGAUUCCCUUCUACUUCCCAACUGUUCUUUCUAGCUGACAUAAUGCUCCAGUCAAAGAAAACCUACCAUCCUGUGGUCACAGUCAGUUCCAGCAUACAAGAAACUUCAACGCCGAGGUGACCUGAGUUCACGUGACGUGUGGUGAUCAAAUUUCUUUUUAGGUACUCUAGGAAUAAUGGAGUUGCGCGGUAUUAGAGGAACGCCAGUAGAUUUUCACGUCUGCCAGCUUCUACGUAGAUUUCAAUAAGGACGCCUUCGUUAACCAAUAUCAAAACAGAUAUGAUCCACUGCACAAAUCCCAGGCCCUCUAACUCCGCUCUUCAUAUUGGUCUUUUAUUGACCAUUAUGAGGGGCGUGA